rnacentral:snRNA from 1 species
GGAUGUGAGGGUAAUCUGGCUGCGACAUCCGUCAUCCCAUUGAUCACCAGGGUUGAUUCAGUUGAUCUGGCUGGCUAGGCAGGUGUCCCUCUGCUUCCUCACAUGUGCAUCCUUCCCGAAGCUGAAGCUGCAAAGCUGUGCACUUGGUCAAAGCUGUGUGCUUAGUCAAAGAGGACAACCACUCCCCAAUAGUGGAGGACUGUUUCCUUGGUCAAGGGUAUAUGUAACUGUGCUACCCUGCUAGAACCGCCAAACAAGCUCUCAAAAGGGGCUGCCUAAUAAAUAUUUAUAAAAGGGUCAUUUUUUUCCCUAGUCAAACGCUAAAUUUGAAUAG